rfam:Schistocephalus solidus strain NST_G2 genome assembly, scaffold: SSLN_scaffold0000209
GGUCUCGUAGUUCAGUUGACUAGAGCGUUGGCUGUACUUAAGCCUUCUGCUUACUGGCGUGGGUUCGAAUCCCACCGAGGCCG